rnacentral:rRNA from 1 species
UUUAGUGAGAGUUUGAUCCUGGCUCAGGACGAACGCUGGCGGCGUGCCUAACACAUGCAAGUCGAGCGA